rnacentral:rRNA from 1 species
GACGAACGCUGGCGGCGUGCUUAACACAUGCAAGUCGAACGGAAAGGCCUGCUUUCCCUUGUGGAUUGCGGGUACUCGAGUGGCGAACGGGUUAGUAACACGUGAGUGAUCUGCCCCCUACUUGUGUAUAAGCCUGGGAAACUGGGUCUAAUUCUCGAUAGGACUGCAGUGUGCUGCCUGUGGUUGAAAUCGAUUUUCUAGUGGUUGCGUAUGAGCUCGCGGCCUAUUAGCUUGUCUGUGGGGUAAUGGCGUACCAAGGCGGCGACGGGUAGCCCGCCUGAGAGGGUGGACGGCCACAGUGGGAAUGAGAUACGGCACAGAGUCCUACAGGAGGCAGAAGUGGGGAAUAUAGCACGAAGGGGGGAAGACUGAUGCAGCGACGCCGCGUGGGGGAUGAAGGCCUUCGGGUUGUAAACUCCUUUCGACCGCGAGGAAGCCACCUGGUUGGAAGGGUGGUGACGGUAGUGGUAGAAGAAGCACCGGCUAACUACGUG